UACGUAGGGUGCAAGCGUUGUCCGGAAUUAUUGGGCGUAAAGAGCUCGUAGGCGGUCUGUCGCGUCGGCUGUGAAAACUCGGGGCUCAACCCCGAGCCUGCAGUCGAUACGGGCAGACUAGAGUGCUGUAGGGGAGACUGGAAUUCCUGGUGUAGCGGUGAAAUGCGCAGAUAUCCGGAAGAACACCUGAGGCGAAGGCGGCUUGCUGGGCCUGAUCUGACGCUGGAGGCGCGAAAGCGUGGGGAGCAAACAGG
rnacentral:rRNA from 1 species